rnacentral:lncRNA from 1 species
AUUUCCCAGAAGUCCUUGUCCAGUUUCCAACUGCCAUUUCCUGCCUCAUGCAACUGUAGAGCUCUCAAUGUUUCCAUUUCCCCCAACAGUUCUAUUGUCCUACUCCACAUCAUUACACAAGAGAAGAAGAAAGGUCUUGCAAUGUCUGAACUGAUCUUUAAAGUUAUCAAGGAAAAGUACUGGACCAAGAGUCAGGAGUUCCAGAUAUAAACUUGUAUCUGUCACUAACUUGUCAUAGGUCCAAACCCAUGCUUCUAAUGAUGGAAAUUUCAGAAGAGAGAGGUUGCGUGUGAGCAGAGAGGUGUUUGUGAAUUAAAUCUGGAUGUGAGGUGAGUCAUUAAUAUUUCGUAGAGACACUGUGGUGGAGUGAAGAAAGCAAUGAACUGUGU